UGGAACGUCUGUGUGAAAAGGACGUACCGCCUCCAGGCAAAGUCAACUGUAAAUAUUCGGCUGAUGAUAUGAAAAGCCUUUAAAUAUAACACAGGGUGGUUAGUGCAAAACACACCAGAGACUUGCAGCAAUAACAAGAGGAACCUGCUGCUUCUAUUCUUUCAAAGGUGCUUUCUAAAACCUUCAGCCAGAAUGGUCCUGUACUACAGAGUCUCCUGCCUGGUGGCUUUUCUUCUUCUCUUAACCUUUCCAGUUGUCCAUUCUACUCCUACCAAACGCCUUUGUGGGGGUGACCUUGUUGAUGCCUUACAAUUUGUUUGUGGAGAUUUUAGCUUUAGGUGCAAUCCAGGCAAGAAGCCCAACCGUGCACGUUACAACAAGUUCAACAUCUACAAUGACUGUUGCCUUAAUCCUUGUUCUCUGUCAUAUUUGGAAGAAUACUGCCAUCAAUAAAUGUGAUUGUCUUUUAUGUUAAACUAUAAUGUUAAAACAUAAAUAAUACUAUUCAACAA